UCGUUAAAAGGCUUGUGACCUUAUG
rnacentral:miRNA from 15 species